rnacentral:lncRNA from 1 species
UUUUUUUUCCCCUGUUGACAUGAUGAGGUUACCUUCUUGACAAUAAGGUGGACACUGGGUCUACUAAUGUUGUAAAUGAAAAAUCAAGGAGUCACAGGAUUUGAAUGUGGAAUGUCUAAAACAUCUGUGACUUCUAAGUUUUGCCAGUGAUGCUUAUGCCGAACAGGAUAUUCCAAUGUUCUUCAGAACACAGUAAAUAAAUAUAUACAAUCAUAUAUUCUAUUAUUUAGUUUAUAUAUAUACAUAUAUGAUUAUACCUUGUGAAGAUAAGCAUUUCUCUUGAAUAGCUCACAUGUGAAUGUGAUGGUGCCUCAGGGUUCAUUUGAAUGGGUGUGUCUUUUAUAUGUAGGAGGCAAUAGUGAGAGAUUGAGAUGCAUUGUGUUUCUCUUACUGUGAUUACAAAAUGUUGAAAAAUGACUUGGAAAUUGAAAAAAAAAAGUGGCCAAUUCAUUAAAGGCUAUUUACUUGUGGUUUUAUAGUACUUUUAUUACAGUUUGAGGAUGAAUCUUUUCUUGUUAAUAAUUUGGAAUACAUCUACCAAAUAUGAUUAAUAGCCCUAUUCUUGAUCUCUCGAGCUUCUCCCCUCACCUGUAUCUUUGAAGAAUAUAGAGAGCAAAAGUAACCGAAUUCUUUCCUGAGAACGAAAGGGCCUUGUGAGAUGGAAUUAUCCUCCUAACCUCUUGAGUUUUCCUGAACUACUUAUCUUCAGUAUCCUCGCUGUGAGAGGUGGAGCCUCACAGUCAGGCGGCUACAGGAAGAAGGUAUUUUUGGACACACAACAGACUGUGCAGUUAUUACCUAAACAGAUUUCUUCUCUGUGGGCUGAGUUGAAGAAUUUUAGGAGUCACUGAAAGAGCAACAUACAUUUCUGUUUUAGAUUCACAAACAGCAAAGCUAGAGGGUGCGUCUGUUUUUGUGUGUAUAUAUGUAGUUAAAGAACUACACUAUCAAAACAUUAAUUAUAUUUGAAAGAGCAGAGAACUUGUUGUAGAGAGAACUGCAUUACUGAAUUUAUAUUCCAUGGAAUGUGUCUGUGGAGAGGGCUAGAAUUGUAUACCUGUCUUAAAUGAUGCACCCUUUUCAGUGAGGUGCACAA